rnacentral:rRNA from 1 species
UAGGGAAUCUUCGGCAAUGGACGAAAGUCUGACCGAGCAACGCCGCGCGAGUGAAGAAGGUUUUCGGAUCGUAAAACUCUGUUGUUAGAGAAGAACAAGGACGUUAGUAACUGAACGUCCCCUGACGGUAUCUAACCAGAAAGCCACGGCUAACUACGUGCCAGCAGCCGCGGUAAUACGUAGGUGGCAAGCGUUGUCCGGAUUUAUUGGGCGUAAAGCGAGCGCAGGCGGUUUCUUAAGUCUGAUGUGAAAGCCCCCGGCUCAACCGGGGAGGGUCAUUGGGAACUGGGAGACUUGAGUGCAGAAGAGGAGAGUGGAAUUCCAUGUGUAGCGGUGAAAUGCGUAGAUAUAUGGAGGAACACCAGUGGCGAAGGCGGCUCUCUGGUCUGUAACUGACGCUGAGGCUCGAAAGCGUGGGGAGCAAACAGG